UGCACAGAUGAUGAGACUCAAGGGACUUAAUUCUGAUACUUGAUGAUUUUUUUAAAAAUCUGAUGUGC